rnacentral:lncRNA from 1 species
UAAUUUUCUGCGCCAAAGGGUUGGGAAAUUUUCCAUUUUCAUGCUGCCUUAAAUGAAUUAUGAUUCUUUUAGGAAAAAAGGUAUCUUUGUGUUUGUCUAGAGAUUACAAUAAUUUAAACUGUCAAAGAAGUUAAUGGCAACUUCCUUACUUUUUAUGGCUAAGCAAACAAAAUUCUUCCAAGUAAUACAAAUGCAAACACAGAACAGGGUUAGUAGAAAGGACCGGGCAUGCUGUGCUUUGACUUUGUGAUGGUAAAGGUCCAAUUUACCUGAAAGAUAACUGCUCUGUAAUAUGAGUAGAGAGCGAUGAGAUGAACACUGAUUUGUAGCAGCGUUUUGUGCGGGAAAUUGCCUUUAAGCACCAAACCCCUUUGCUUUCUUUCCCUCUUCUAGGUUCUGCAAGCCCAGAAUAGCCCCCUCAGCCGUGCAUUUGGAAACUGGGAACCAUGCGAGACAUCAUGGUUGCAGAGAACGGAGGGUUCCCAUGCAUGCCCGAGAAACCUGCCAUCCAUCCAUCCAUCCAUCCAUCCAUCCAUCCAUGAUCUAUCACCGCUUCAGUGUUGCGGCGAGCCGGCGCCUACCCCGGCGGUGGGGCUGGAGGAUGAUGGGAGACACACCAGACGGGAUGCCAGUCUGCCGCAAGGCACUCCAAGCAGGACUUGAACCCCAGGCCGACCACACAGCGGGCCCCGGCCAAACCCGCUGUGCCCCCAUCCAUAUAUCAGGUGACAAUCAAAUUACAAUCAAUAAUUUCUCAAUUUAAGAGAUAUAUAAGAGUCAGUGUACAAGUUACUGUGAUUUUUAUACAUGCGACCCUAGAACCAGUGCUCAAAAAUGUUGGUGUGUCUUGGCCAGCAACUGAAAAUUGCUAAAUGCUAGAAAGUGUUGCUCAUGCUGUUUUAAGUAAAUGCAAUACAAUUCAGGCUUCAUGCUGGUGCAGCG